rnacentral:rRNA from 1 species
CAGCCGCCGCGGUAAUACGGAGGGUGCAAGCGUUAAUCGGAAUUACUGGGCGUAAAGCGCACGCAGGCGGUCUGACAAGUCAGAUGUGAAAUCCCCGGGCUUAACCUGGGAACUGCAUUUGAAACUGUCAGGCUGGAGUCUUGUAGAGGGGGGUGGAAUUCCAGGUGUAGCGGUGAAAUGCGUAGAGAUCUGGAGGAAUACCGGUGGCGAAGGCGGCCCCCUGGACAAAGACUGACGCUCAGGUGCGAAAGCGUGGGGAGCAAACAGGAUUAGAGAUCCCAGUAGUCCCUGUCCCUUAUAC